rnacentral:rRNA from 1 species
UACGUAGGUGGCAAGCGUUGUCCGGAUUUACUGGGCGUAAAGAGCGCGCAGGCGGUCGAUUUAGUCGCGUGUGAAAGCCCCCGGCUCAACUGGGGAGGGUCACGCGAUACUGAUCGACUCGAAGGCAGGAGAGGGUAGUGGAAUUCCCGGUGUAGUGGUGAAAUGCGUAGAUAUCGGGAGGAACACCAGUGGCGAAGGCGACUACCUGGCCUGUUCUUGACGCUGAGGCGCGAAAGCUGGGGGAGCAAACGGG